UACGUAGGGGGCAAGCGUUGUCCGGAAUCAUUGGGCGUAAAGAGCGUGUAGGCGGCCCGGUAAGUCCGCUGUGAAAGUCCAGGGCUCAACCCUGGGAUGCCGGUGGAUACUGUCGGGCUCGAGUCCGGAAGAGGAGUGUGGAAUUCCUGGUGUAGCGGUGAAAUGCGCAGAUAUCAGGAGGAACACCGAUGGCGAAGGCAGCUCACUGGGACGGUACUGACGGCUGAGACGCGAAAGCGUGGGGAGCAAACAGG
rnacentral:rRNA from 1 species